AGUAUUAGAAGUUUUUGGAGUCCCUGGAAUUACUAAAGACUCGGGAGUCUCUGGGGGCUCAGAAAUUACUGAAGUUUCUGAAGUCUCAGGAGCCUCUGAGGUUAUUGAAGUCUCAGAAGUUCCUGGAACCUCAAGAUUUGGCUAUCAUUAUCCCGUUUUCUUGUAGCAACUGUUUCAUCCCAACUUUUUUGACUGGUAUCGUCAUCUUGAGCGACAUUAAUCGUCUCUCUAUUGCUCAGUUGAAAAUCAAUAAAAUCACUAUCAUUCUGAAUGGAGAAACCAGAAACGUUGUAAUUAGAGCUAGUAGAGGGUCCAAUACAUGAAGUCGGAGCGUGCUCAGGAGUUAUCGGAUUACUAAUAUCAUAGUCGUCAGAUUUUCU